GCCGGAGUAGCUCAGUUGGUAGAGCAGCGCAUUCGUAAUGCGAAGGUCGUAGGUUCGACUCCUACCUCCGGCACCA
rnacentral:tRNA from 1 species